rnacentral:rRNA from 1 species
CCUACGGGAGGCAGCAGUGAGGAAUAUUGGUCAAUGGGCGGAAGCCUGAACCAGCCAAGUCGCGUGAGGGGAUAAGGCCCUACGGGUCGUAAACCUCUUUUGCCGGGGAGUAAGGGCGGGGACGUGUCCCGGCCCGGAGAGUACCCGGAGAAAAAGCAUCGGCUAACUCCGUACCAGCAGCCGCGGUAAUACGGAGGAUGCGAGCGUUAUCCGGAUUUAUUGGGUUUAAGGGGUUCGUAGGCGGGCUUUUAAGUCAGCGGUAAAAUGUCGGGGCCCAACCCCGACCGGUCGUUGAAACUGGGGGCCUUGAGUGGGCGAGAGGAAGGCGGAAUGUGUGGUGUAGCGGUGAAAUGCAUAGAGAUCACGCAGAACCCCGAUUGCGAAGGCAGCCUUCCGGCGCCCUACUGACGCUGAGGCACGAAAGUGCGGGGAUCGAACAGGAUUAGAUACCCUUGUAGUC